rnacentral:rRNA from 1 species
AUUGAACGCCGGCGGCAGGCCUAACACAUGCAAGUCGAGCGGAUGAAGGGAGCUUGCUCCUGGAUUCAGCGGCGGACGGGUGAGUAAUGCCUAGGAAUCUGCCUGGUAGUGGGGGAUAACGUCCGAAAACGGGCGCUAAUACCGCAUACGUCCUGAGGGAGAAAGUGGGGGAUCUUCGGACCUCACGCUAUCAGAUGAGCCUAGGUCGGAUUAGCUAGUUGGUGGGGUAAAGGCCUACCAAGGCGACGAUCCGUAACUGGUCUGAGAGGAUGAUCAGUCACACUGGAACUGAGACACGGUCCAGACUCCUACGGGAGGCAGCAGUGGGGAAUAUUGGACAAUGGGCGAAAGCCUGAUCCAGCCAUGCCGCGUGUGUGAAGAAGGUCUUCGGAUUGUAAAGCACUUUAAGUUGGGAGGAAGGGCAGUAAGUUAAUACCUUGCUGUUUUGACGUUACCAACAGAAUAAGCACCGGCUAACUUCGUG